AUCGCUACAACUCUCGUACGGACUCGGGAGAGGCCAUCACAGUGCGUGAUCAGAGGUCUCGGCUGUUAAAUUGCGCUGUCGCUAUAUGCAAUUGCAUAUUCCCUCUCCGAUAGAAUUAAUAGAAAAAAGUAGCUAAGCCGCUUAAUUCUGAACCCCAAGAAUUAGCUUCGGUGUGUUCGUUCCUGGUCGAAAUAAAUUGUGUUUUUCCCAAAGAAAAACGUCAUAGGUGAAAGAAAUCAUGCCUUUCGGUAACACCCACAAAAAGCUGAAGAUGAACUACUCCGCGGAGCAGGAGUACCCCGACCUGAGCCAGCUUAACAACCUGCGGGACAAAGAAACUCCAAGUGGAUAUACAGUGGAUGAUGUCAUUCAAACUGGGGUUGAUAACCCAGAGGAAGUGGGUGUGCUUGGACCCGACCUGGUGGCAGCAAUGGUUAAUCUAUCGCCUGCAAUGCAGGGCAGUCCCAAAACAGUACAUGGGAAGUUUAGGCAGAAACUGAAAAUGCCAAAAAUACCAGGCUUUGUGCGAUGUCCACUCGUCAGGCGUCAGGCGCAGGACACAGAGGUGAUUAUGGACUUUUUGGAGAACCUGAAGGAAAAUCGCUUGGUGGAGGCUUGCCAGCAGUUGCUCUUGCGAGAGGACAAGCUAUUUGGCCAAGAAACCAUGACGAUAGAGGGGUUGGUUCAGGUUUGCAACGAGGACGAUAAAGACACGCUCCAAAAAGACUAUGAAACCCUGCUGCUCCACUUAUGGAUGGCAGUUCACACCACCUUUAGUCCCACACCCUCAGGAGAACAACUAGAGAUACUUCGGAGUGCGGUGGAAACCAUAACGCUGCUGGAAGAGAAGGACCGGCAAUGGGAAGGGCGGCCCGAGGGCAGCAGCGAGGCCCCCGUGUGGCGGCCACACCAGUGCCGACACACCCACGACAACCUGCUUGAAGAAAUGGUAGAUUCUCAAAUGAGGAAUGCGACAUUGGAGGAGGACAAUAUUAACGUUAGCAGUGUGGACAACCUGUCAACGUCCAUGAAAAGGGAGGUAUGUAGGAUGGGCAAGCGUCUGAAGGAGGACGUUCUCAGGGUGGCCAGGGACAUAAGGGACUGCUACCCCCCAGACUUUGACGUGUGCAACUUGUAUGUGAGACUUUACCAUCAGAAGUUCUCAGCAAGGUUAACAGAACUGGCCCGCUCUGGGCUCGAUGUGGAUGACUGUAACUACCUCCUCUGCUGGGUGAACAAUUACUAUCCAAAUGACAUCUUAAAACACAAAGACCUUGAGGGGCACAUCAACAUGGAGUCUUUGGGAACUCUUUUAUCUGAGAAGGAUCUCACAACAUUGGAGGAGCAGUAUCUACUACAAAAAGAGAGUAAAGUCAGGACCUGGUUCUCCAAGGCUCUCAGUAAGGAGGAGGAGGGUUGGCUCAGUGGAAAGAGUCCAGAACUCAUUGAUGGGUACUGCUUCUGUCCUCUGGCCAUUGACAUCAUACAGGCUGUUGAUGGGGCCAUGAGAGAGGCCAGGACUAUUCUGGGCAGUGAGGCUAAAGCCCAGAGAAUCCUGCGUCAGCUGGACAGCUUCUUGAUAAGCUAUAAGAGCUCUCUUGAAGAAUUUGUGAAGAGAACAGGGGAGAACACUCAGGCAGUCGUGAAAGCUAACCUGGUUAGCAUCGAACAAUUCAGAGACUUCAUAGUGAGAAGAGAGGAGUCAAUCCCAGAAGAGAUCAGGACAAGCUGUAUGUCCACAUUGGCAGACCUGAGAGACUGUGGCUACGGAUACUUCACCGGCCCCAUACAUGAGGAGCUCAGGGUGCAGUACCAUAGGCUGUGGACACAGGCCUGGUUUACUGGGGGUCAGAUGGUACUGGAUGAAGUUCUGGGGACACUGGACAGACACAUGCAGCAAUUCACAGACCUCAAAUCCAUUUGUAUGGAGGAGCUGCUGGGCCGGCUGCACAUGGAGAUGAUGGUGGAGUAUGUGAAGAGGAUGAUGAAGAGGAAGAUGAGGCUGAAGGACAAGGAGCAGCAGGAGGCAGCAGCCAAAUUACUGGCUGAAGACAGCAGCAAACUGAGCACCUACUUUACUGAAGCGGGGUCCAAAAUAAGCUGGCUGAGUGAGGUCCUCCCUAAAAUGGCAGAGGUGGUCAGACUGCAGGACCCAGGAAGCAUCCAGCUGGAGAUUGUCACCCUGGCUAGGGACUUCCCAGACCUUAGUUGGAGACAUAUUUCGGCUCUGCUUUCCCUCAAAGCCAACCUAUCCACUGCUGAUGUCCGCAGCAUCAAAGAGAGCCUGGUAGAGAACCGGCCCACGGUCACCACCUGCAAUACCAACCCACCAUUCUUCUCCAAGGUCCCAGCGGGCAAAACUUGGAACAUGUGCAGACCAGCGUGCAUCUGUUAUGGGGGAAGGGGGUAUUCAAGCCAGGAUUAGACAUUGGGCUAUCUACCCAUUUUGUCGCUCAUCUCGAAUGGCUACAAUGAUACUGCAUGCACAUUCACUUAGCAAGUCUACUCUUGUGUAGGGACAGGUCCCAACUUCGUUUGUGCCCGAGGAUCCAUGUGUACGGGGGUGGUCUUCUAGUGACAGGGAGAAUUUCCCUACCUGGGAUGGGGACGUUUUUUUCCCGGGAGGGAAAAUGGAAGACAACUGGAGAUCUACUUAGAGGGAAAUGGAGCAGUAUGUGUAGCAGGGUAUCUAUCGUGGUACAUCUACGUGGAUAAUGGACAGGCAUUGAUUAUGGUGGAACUGGUAAGUAUGGAUAAGUAUCUCAAAAUGGUGGUAAGGACAGUGUUAUCUCAAAAUAUAACCUACAGUUGAAGUUUAUGUACACCUUAACCAAAUGCAUUUAAACUCCGUUUUUCACAAUUCCUGACAUUUAAUCCUAGUAAAAAAAUUCCCU